UGGCAUUCGAGUGGCGGACGGGUGAGUAACGCGUGGGUAACCUGCCUUACACAGGGGGAUAACACCUGGAAACAGGUGCUAAUACCGCAUAAGCGCACAGGGCCGCAUGGCCCGGUGUGAAAAACUCCGGUGGUGUAAGAUGGACCCGCGUCUGAUUAGCUUGUUGGCGGGGUAACGGCCCACCAAAGCGACGAUCGGUAGCCGGCCUGAGAGGGCGGACGGCCACAUUGGGACUGAGACACGGCCCAAACUCCUACGGGAGGCAGCAG
rnacentral:rRNA from 1 species